UGGCGGCAGGCCUAACACAUGCAAGUCGAGCGGUAGAGAGAAGCUUGCUUCUCUUGAGAGCGGCGGACGGGUGAGUAAUGCCUAGGAAUCUGCCUGGUAGUGGGGGAUAACGUUCGGAAACGGACGCUAAUACCGCAUACGUCCUACGGGAGAAGGCAGGGGACCUUCGGGCCUUGCGCUAUCAGAUGAGCCUAGGUCGGAUUAGCUAGUUGGUGAGGUAAUGGCUCACCAAGGCGACGAUCCGUAACUGGUCUGAGAGGAUGAUCAGUCACACUGGAACUGAGACACGGUCCAGACUCCUACGGGAGGCAGCAGUGGGGAAUAUUGGACAAUGGGCGAAAGCCUGAUCCAGCCAUGCCGCGUGUGUGAAGAAGGUCUUCGGAUUGUAAAGCACUUUAAGUGGGGAGGAAGGGUUGUAGAUUAAUACUCUGCAAUUUUGACGUUACCGACAGAAUAAGCACCGGCUAACUCUGUGCCAGCAGCCGCGGUAAUACAGAGGGUGCAAGCGUUAAUCGGAAUUACUGGGCGUAAAGCGCGCGUAGGUGGUUUGUUAAGUUGGAUGUGAAAUCCCCGGGCUCAACCUGGGAACUGCAUUCAAAACUGACUGACUAGAGUAUGGUAGAGGGUGGUGGAAUUUCCUGUGUAGCGGUGAAAUGCGUAGAUAUAGGAAGGAACACCAGUGGCGAAGGCAACCACCUGGACUAAUACUGACACUGAGGUGCGAAAGCGUG
rnacentral:rRNA from 1 species